CCUGCAUGAAGUUGGAAUCGCUAGUAAUCGCGGAUCAGCACGCCGCGGUGAAUACGUUCCCGGGCCUUGUACACACCGCCCGUCACAUCACGAAAGCCGGCUGUACUAGAAGUCGCCGAGCUAACCCGCAAGGGAAGCAAGCGCCUAAGGUAUGGUCGGUGAUUGGGGUGAAGUCGUAACAAGGUAGCUGUAGGAGAACCUGUGGCUGGAUCACCUCCUUU
rnacentral:rRNA from 1 species